CUGGCCCAGUCAGGCUCUGGGAGGAAACUCUGGGACUGGGCACUCCAUAAAACAGGUAGUUCCCAGGGCCGGCGUCCCUUGAUGAUCCCGGGGAGGUGGAGUGUUUAUGGGCUACUGGCUCAGGGCUUUAAACUAGCGAGAGCGUCAGCUGGGAGGGCACCUGUGGGUGUUCUCGUGUGCCUGGUAUAGCUGCCCCAAGUGCCCACAGCUGUGGUACUAUUCACUCCCCGCUCUGCUGAUAGGACUAAGCUCAAAGGUGUGGCUUUCUCUCCCCUUACCCUAUGGGGCGGGGGGUGAUGGGUGACCAGGUGUAGCAGCAAAGUUUUGCUCUCUGCACUGAUAUCCCCCUGGAGUGGUCCUGGGUACGCUGGAGGCUUUCUGGCAAGCCCAUAAGACCUGCUGGGAGCCUCUCCUAGCUGGGAGUCACUGUAUAGCCUGCUGCGGGUGGGGAGGUCUCAUCUUCCCCUCGCCCUCCUGUGGACCUCGUUAAAGAAACCCUGGUGCUGCUGAGGCUGACUCAGGUCUGUGCAGUGUGGGCACAUCUAUCUGCUCCCCCGAUAGCCAGGGCUGCUCUGAAUGUGCUGCUGUACGUGGGUUGCUGGCGCCUAUGACUGCGGCUGGGAAAAUCCAUCUGCUGCUGGGGAAAGGACUGAAAGCAGCACAAGGCCUUUGCCGCUCUCAAGACCCAUUGCUUACGUGAGACUUAUGGUGAAGCUGGGCUGGCCGUCGGCGUGGGGGUGAAUUUCAGCCCAGGAGAUCAGUGAGAAAUCUGCCCAUUCCUGUCGUUCUUCAGCAUCUUCCCCUCCAGCAGCAUAU